rnacentral:lncRNA from 1 species
ACGGAUGUGCUUAAGCUGAUUGUUCGUGAAGGAAACGUAAGGUACAGAGUGCAGGAACUUGUUGAGGGCGAGCGCACGGGCGACGCGGCACGCAUGAGCCUCGUGGAGGCCUGAGCGCCGAGUGACCACGCGCCGCAGGAGGUGAAUUACUGAGUGGCAGGUCGUUACAGCGUGGUGGAGGGCAUGCGCGUUCUUGGCU